CAGUCGCCGCGGGAAUACCAGCAGCCCAAGUGGUGGUCGCGUUUAUUGGGCCUAAAGCGCUCGUAGCCUGGCCGGUAAGUUCCCCGUGAAAUCGGGUCGCCCAACGAUUCGGCUUGCGGGGAAUACUGUCGGUCUUGGGGCCGGGAGACGCCGAGGGUACUCCGGGGGUAGCGGUGAAAUGCUGUAAUCCUCGGGGGACUACCAGUGGCGAAGGCGCUCGGCGAUAACGGGCCUGACGGUGAGGGGCGAAAGCUGGGGGCGCGAACGGGAUUAGAUACCCCGGUAGUCCCUGUCUCUUAUA
rnacentral:rRNA from 1 species